rnacentral:sRNA from 1 species
GACUAGCUUGCUGUGUGGACAUGCGUGUACUUGGACCUGUCAAGGAUAAGAUCCAGCUUCUCCAUCGGGUUCCCCUCACAGUGGCCUCGUUGUUGAAUCUACCUCCAAAUGGCAAGAUAAGGUCACCUAAAUUCGCUGGUGGCCUUUGAGGCACAGUUGGUUGCCUGGCUUUGGAAGUGGCUCCAUGUAGAGGAUAGUACAUGUGCAGGAGCCUUCAACAGCCGCCCUGCAGCAGGGCCAAGGGGUACCAGCUAUACCAGACACCAGCUGAAGGCAUGUGUCCACAGCUUCUGUCUUCGGCAUGACUUCUGACCAAAGUGGAACAUCCACCCGUUCAGCUGAGAUACCCUCUACCCAACAAAGAUGGCCUACUUUUGGAGAAUUAGACACAGCCACCAAAAAGACUCUUCCAGAGGAGAAAUCUCACCUGUGCAGUGUGUGGGAAGGACACCAAACUCAGGCUCUGAAUUGGUUUUGUCUGAAGAUGAAAAAAGUGACAAUGAAGAUAAGGAAGAGACGGAAUUGGGCGUCAUGGAGGAUCAGCGUAGUAUAAUUCUUCAUCUCAUUUCACAACUCAAACUUG